UAUGAUUUUUCCACCCAUACCACUGCCGAGGCAGACCCAGCUUUUGGCACGCUCCCUGUUUCCCACCCUCUCUGGCAGCAAGGAUGCUUUCAAGGGAAAAACCAGCAAAACUGACUGUGUUGAAGAACAAUGAUGAAAAAGACCUUGUAACAAGUAGAUGGGAGAGCUUUAAAAACUUUGCUGGGUCUCAGAUGCCCAUGAGGGCCAGUCGGAGUGGCACAGGAAGGUGAUGGCCCCCCCGGCCACAAAGCUUACCCCGCUGCCGCCUGCUUCAGUGAGCCUGGUGGUGGUAAAUAAAACAGGUUAUGUGGCCCGUGCAUUAGGCAGACCGACAAAUUGCAGCUGAAUUGACUCUCUUAGGUGGAGGACCAUCGCUCCGGCUCGCAGGGCGAUAUCUGCCGCUCACGUGCACAGAGACAGCAUGCUGCCCACGCUACCCACCCGGCUCAGCCGCCACACAUGAGCCUCGGACCAACAACCCCUCCUUUUCCCUGAUGACCAGCACUCAAAUCCCCAGCAAAAUCUGAAUUAACCUGAGGAAACCAGCACCAUUUCCAAACCACUUGGAGCGAAGGAAGUACAAAGACCUUCGUCAAGGAGCAAGCCGAGAGCUGCAGAGCCACGGUGUUUUGGCACCUUCCGCUGGUCCCUCGGCAAAGAGGGAUGCCAAAGCCACGCAGGAGGAACAAGCAGCCCCACAACUGUUUCGCCAUCUCAAAUCGGCGAUCACGACUUUAUAUGCAAGAGACAUUUUAAGGAAAAUGAAACGCCGGCUACUCUGUCAGACAGCCACAAACCAAGCCAGCUUCUCUUGGCUUGAAGAGUCCCAGCGAAUGCUCAUUCUGCAGCAACGGCUCCCACCCAGGCUGUGGGUGCAAACCCUGCUGCAGCGGUAGCCGUGCAAUGCCCUGUCCUGGCUCUGUACCAGCGAUAAGUACUGCUGUUCAAACAGAGCUGAACAGCAAGGUCAGCGGUGUUUUCCUGGUUUUCUUUGUAGUUCUGGAAACCUGGAUUAAUUGGCAUGAGCAGAGCUGUGCAAGUUGGUCAAAAGAAUAUAAACUCAUGGGCAUCUGGCCCACGCUUUUCUCCUUCUGCAAUCCACUAAAAAUGAGUUUUCCAAGUGCCAGUUGCAAUUUAAUAUGAAAGCCUAAGUUUAGAGAUCCAAAAAUAAAAAUUAUAUGCAUCUGGUGCUUUUAAGUGCUUUAUGAAAAUAAAAGAUGCUGCUGUUAA